AGCGCAGGCGGUUUGUUAAGUCUGAUGUGAAAGGCCACGGCUCAACCGUGGAGGUGCAUUGGAAACUGGCAAACUUGAGUGCAGAAGAGGAAAGUGGAAUUCCAUGUGUAGCGGUGAAAUGCGUAGAUAUAUGGAGGAACACCAGUGGCGAAGGCGACUUUCUGGUCUGUAACUGACGCUGAGGCUCGAAAGCAUGGGGAGCAAACA
rnacentral:rRNA from 1 species